CCUACGGGAGGCAGCAGUGAGGAAUAUUGGUCAAUGGACGAGAGUCUGAACCAGCCAAGUAGCGUGAAGGAUGACUGCCCUAUGGGUUGUAAACUUCUUUUAUAUGGGAAUAAAACGUUCCACGUGUGGGAUUUUGUAUGUACCAUAUGGAUAAGGAUCGGCUAACUCCGUGCCAGCAGCCGCGGUAAUACGGAGGAUCCGAGCGUUAUCCGGAUUUAUUGGGUUUAAAGGGAGCGUAGGUGGAUUGUUAAGUCAGUUGUGAAAGUUUGCGGCUCAACCGUAAAAUUGCAGUUGAAACUGGCAGUCUUGAGUACAGUAGAGGUGGGCGGAAUUCGUGGUGUAGCGGUGAAAUGCUUAGAUAUCACGAAGAACUCCGAUUGCGAAGGCAGUUCACUGGACUGCAACUGACACUGAGGCUCGAAAGUGUGGGUAUCAAACAGGAUUAGAUACCCCUGUAGUC
rnacentral:rRNA from 1 species